CUCAUCCAUGGCUUCUGAUUAGGGAAAGUGGUAAUCCGUUUGAGGGUGGUGACACUGUUGAUGUUGGAGUUGAUACAAUUCAGAUGAUGAGAUGUAU